UACGUAGGGGGCAAGCGUUGUCCGGAAUUACUGGGCGUAAAGCGUGCGCAGGCGGUGAUGUAAGACAGGGGUGAAAUCCCCGGGCUUAACCUGGGAACUGCAUUUGUGACUGCAUCGCUGGAGUGCGGCAGAGGGGGAUGGAAUUCCGCGUGUAGCAGUGAAAUGCGUAGAUAUGCGGAGGAACACCGAUGGCGAAGGCAAUCCCCUGGGCCUGCACUGACGCUCAUGCACGAAAGCGUGGGGAGCAAACAGG
rnacentral:rRNA from 1 species